rnacentral:lncRNA from 1 species
GGAGGACCGCGAAUCGAUCCCCCGCAACUACGAUCGGGAGGGGGCUGAAACCACUUGAUGUCAUAAAUGACCUCUGAACCAGAUUCAACUGGUGGUGAAAAACCAAAAAAAAAUAUUGAAAAGUUUGGAAGAUUCCAAACGUGCACUAAUAAAAAGACUUGAAAGAAGCCUCACCCGGCAAACUCUGUUCUAUGUAUAGAAUAGAUAGAUAGAAUCUUUCACCGCUUCUUCUUUCCUUUCCUUUCUUCUACUUUUUUUUUUUGUCUUAUAAUUAUAUGUUGUAGCUCUUUCUUAUAUCAGAUUUAGUUAUGCAUUGUUUGCUUCAUUAGUGAGUGUUGUUUGUUUCUAGUUCUACAAAACAAAAACAGAGAGAAGAGAAGAAAUGGCGAAAGUUUUCUUGGUUGGCAUAGCAACAGGACUUGUUUUCACCAACUUGGUUUAUGGGUUUGUAGGAUAUGAUCAACAUCACUUCAAUGAAACUGAAGAACUCUUUCUGUUAGAGGCUCAUGAACAUGAAUCAUUCUAUUCCUCAUCCUUGCUUGAGGGAAAUGGAAAUCCUUUGCUUGUAGGACUCACCCUUAUCCACAAUGCAGCUACU